GUAGGUGAACCUGCGGAAGGAUCAUUAAAAAUUUGUUUGUAAGGUCUUGAGGAGAAAACCAACUACAAUACACGGCUCGUAUACUUGAUUCAGGUAGAGAGUCGUGUAAAGUAAGUGGAAUAACUCGGCCGAACAAAUACCAACAACUUGUGAAUUUGUAAUUUAUUCUUCACCAAUUGACUGUUAACGAAGUCUGAUUCAAUUAUUGAGGUGUUUAAAGACACUUACACAAAUAUUGAAACAACUUUUG
rnacentral:misc_RNA from 1 species